rnacentral:rRNA from 1 species
CACGCCGUAAACGAUGGAUACUAGCUGUUGGGGGCAACUUCAGUGGCUAAGCGAAAGUGAUAAGUAUCCCACCUGGGGAGUACGAACGCAAGUUUGAAACUCAAAGGAAUUGACGGGGGC